UAAUUUCCCAGAACGGUCAGCUCCAACAGCGCCUGGACAAUGUGGAGAGGGACUUCCUCAUCUUCAACAGAGAAAGGUCAAAGAAGGCUGUGGUGGGAACAGAAGCAACAGGCCUCACCACGACAGAGAAGAACAAGGCUAUUGAAGAUGGACAGAACAACAACGUGGACCCGGCAGCCUACAUAUCAGGAUAGUGGACUUCUGCUUUAGCCCGAAGUCGCUACGCGUACCUGGCCGCAGCUUGUAGAUCAACACUACCCAAUCCCCCACUCUCCCUCUGCCGCCGGCCGGUGUAGGCACUCAGAUUGACCUUUAACCCUGACACAUUCCCCAACAGCCGGCCACUAUGCCCAGACUGCUGGAGGUCACAUAGAUUACUACUUUACAGAGUGAGUGGCACCUGACCUAGAGCAGACAGACAGACCUUGGCUCUUUCUUMUUUUCCUCGCUCAGGGAUGUGGCCUCUCAGUGGGCACCCCUUCUUACACUCUGCCCUACCUUGACUUGGUCUGACUUGGCAGCAGAGACAGACAGGAUACAGCCACCAUGCCUGCUAAGCUGAGGCUAGGCUCAGGCCAGGAAGAAAAUUAAGCCUGAUGUUGACAAAUAGGAUAAUAUGUCUGUAGUACAUGAAAACAGAGAAAGGGGGUGUGAGUUGCCUCACAAAAAAUGAAUUAAAAUUAGAGAUGAGAUAUGCGGCCUUUGUUUUCAAGACACCAACCACAGAUUCCUCUUGGAAGACAAAGGGAACCACUGACUUCAGCAGAGACAGAGUUUACUUAAUGAGUCUCUGUGAUGACGUUAGGCAUCACUUGUGACACUCAAGCAAACCAAGAUGAUGGGUACUUGACAUGGACAUUUGGGAUAUAAAUAUUUAUAGAUAAAUAGAUAUUUAUUGUCUGUUCCGCACAGAAGAUAGCUUUGCAUACGCUUCUCCAUUAAUUGUAGAGGUCAAAGUGUAGUGUAUGAAUUCUCAUUCUCUUCUGUUUAAUAUAGGGGUGCCGUAUAGCUACUAUAUGGUACCUGAUUGGUUUCCCCAUGCAGACAAUGAUAAUCAUAUAUGUAGUCUAAUUGAAGUCACCAUCCUGUUGUUCAAUAUGUGCUUGGAAAAUAGCUUUGCCAGUCUUUUGACCCUUUCUGCAAUACAAUUACAUAUUAUCCAAGGCUUUACCUGUCUUAUUAACCAGGCUUUACCUGGUUAUCAGAUCUACUAUUGGCACCUUUAUAACAACCAUUAUUGGUACAGAUAUUCUAAUUAUUGUAGGUUUUGAUAAAUGUAUGUCAUUCAAGGGCCCAAUGAAAGCAGAGUUGUAAAAUGAGUACUCUAUUUUGUUUUUCAUUUGUUGUCACUGUGUGGACUAUUACCUGUAAAUGUGGUCAAGCAGCGAUUAUAAAAGGUGUGCCUUAAUGUCAUAUUUUUCUUUGGGAYCCCAACCUUAUUAUUUUCUUAAAUACACACAAUGAGCAGUUAGGUAACAUCUGGGAAUUCAAAAGGAAAAGUUCACCAGUGUUUUUUUUGCUAUUGAAAAGUAGCACAGUAAUAAAGUACUUUAGGGGUUACCUAACUAACUGCUCGUUUGUUUGUUUGUUUCUGUUUUAAUAAAUAGCCAGAUAAGAA